GCGCUCACAUGUGUUAUUUUCCUUCUCUUUCAAGUCUAGUGAGCAACUCUGUGAGCCUGGCAUUCCCCCUCAUUCCACAGCUAAGACGCCCAGAGAGGCCAAGUGAGUCUCUCAAGGACGUUAACCCGCAUAUGUUGAGGGCGGGCUUUGAACCUCUGACCCCAGAGGUCCAGCUCAACCACACUGUCCACUCCGGCACAGUGACCUUGAAGAUCAGCUGCUCGAGCUCACACAUGGGGUGUGGGCCUCCCAAAAUGGGAUCUUCCCAACCCAGGAAUCAAACUGGCAUCUCCUGCAUUACCAGGCAAAUUCUUUACCGCUGGCCCACCUGGGAAAAGGCGUCUACACUCCUAAUUAAAUCCAGCAUCAACUGCAACCAGACCUGAGGCAAGGCUCAAGCGGGCAAAACAGGAUUAGGGCUUCUGUGAUGCUGGGGUUGCUUAUGAGAUGCUCAGUUCUCAAGAUUUAUCUUCCAAUUCCCCGAACAUGCAUCUAAAAGUAGCAUUUGGUUUUCUAAGCAAUGAAACACAUGUCAGUGAACACACAUGUCAUCGCCACAGCAUAGCCAGGGGAAGAGGUAGGCACUCCGCAGAGCAAAAGAGAGGGUUUUCUCAACUGCCUUCCUCCCCACCCUUGUGUCACUGCCUCUUUGAUCCCAGGCGCUCAUCUACCCUUCUCUCCAGAUGGAUCCCAUCUCUCUAUCAUCUUGAGGGCCACUGUUCUUCCCAAAAGGCCAUGAGCACCUUGUCUUGGCAGGUAUUUCUAAUAGAAAUGGGCAGGCACACACAGAGUUGAAGUGAGAAGAGUUUGAUGAAAGGACUACGCAGAGCAGAGCAGGGUUUGGGGUGUCACCAAAAGGAUGACAGAGCACCUAGAAACUAGCAAGAGUAAGAAGCCCUCACCACCUCCAGGCCUAAGAGGGCAAGAGAUGAGAGAGCUGCAGCUAUACAAGAGGGCUAUCCACCAGGGCUGGAGCCUAGGGGAGCAUGACCACCACCAUGGCCACAGCAGGAAG
ensembl:lncRNA